AAAUUUUAGGCUUAAAUGUUUACAAAAUGGAAUCAGCAGAACAAAAUUUGGGAUUUAAACUUACUUUAUCGAUCUAGAUUUAACUCCUUUUCUUUUCUUUUAAGAAUUCACGAUGAAUCAAAAACUCUAGGCUUUCCUUUUCCUAGAUUUUUUUCCAUUAGACUUUUUCCUAGAUAUCUUCACAAGAAAAGCAUAAAACUUAUUAGACAACCAUAAAAAUCAUAAAAUAAACAAAAUUACAAUAACUUUGAAAACUGAAAAUAAUUGAACCAAAAAAAGAAAAACUGAAAAAUAAAUACUAGUUUCUCUCGCUUUAACUAGGGUUUCGCUGUCAUUUAACUAACAAGUUUUCUCUUCUGUCUCGAGUCAAGCUCGAUUACACCUGAUUUGUUCCUUUUUAGUUUCCAGAGGUUUAUAAAAAGGAUAGUCCUCGAGUUAACAAAGACAAAGUGCUAUGCCAAGUAUGGAUAAUGAAAGUUCUAAUGUAUCACAAGCCGAGGAAAUAAAAGUCCAAGCAAAUGAAGCAUUUAAAGCCCACAAGUAUGGUCAGGCCAUUGACUUGUAUACACAGGCAAUAGAGCUAAAUAGUCAGAAUGCAGUAUACUGGGCAAAUCGUGCAUUUGCUCACACCAAACUGGAAGAGUAUGGUAGUGCCAUGCAGGAUGCUACGAAGGCAAUUGAAGUUGAUCCUAAAUAUUCAAAGGGUUAUUACAGACGUGGUGCUGCUUAUCUCGCAAUGGGGAAGUUUAAGGAAGCGCUAAAGGAUUUUCAACAGGUCAAAAAGAUUUGUCCCAAUGAUCCUGAUGCUACCAAGAAAUUAAAGGAAUGUGAGAAAGCAGUAAUGAAAUUAAAAUUUGAAGAAGCAAUUUCUGUACCUGAGUCUGAGAGGCGUUUUGUAGCUGACUCUAUUGAUUACCAUAGCAUAGGGACGAGUCCCAGGUCAUCAUCCAUGCCCACCCAAGUGGGCAUAGCGGCAGUUGCAGUAGCAUUUGUGGCAGUACUAGCGAUGAUGCUGGGGGCAGCAGCAGCCACAAUGGUGGCAGCAGUAGUGGUGGUGGUUCUAGGGACAUGGUGGUGGGGUGGAUCCACUGAGGUGGAGCCACAAUAUUCGGGUGCAAAGAUAGAGGGAGAUGUUGUUACUUUGGAUUUUGUUAAGAAAAUGAUGGAUGACUUCAAGAAUCAAAAGUGUUUGCAUAAAAGAUAUGCAUUCCAGAUUGUCUUACAAAUGAGAAAAAUGCUUCGAUCUCAGCCUUCUCUUGUUGAUAUUAAUGUUCCUGAUGGCAGUCAUUUCACUGUCUGCGGUGAUGUACAUGGCCAGUUCUACGAUUUGAUAAAUAUUUUUGAGCUUAAUGGUCUCCCAUCUGAAGAGAAUCCAUAUCUCUUUAAUGGUGACUUUGUGGAUAGAGGAUCUUUCUCCGUGGAGGUCAUCCUCACCCUGUUUGCACUUAAGUGCAUGUGUCCAUCAGCUAUUUAUCUUGCUAGAGGAAAUCACGAGAGUAGGAGCAUGAACAAGAUAUAUGGUUUUGAGGGCGAGGUCAGGUCGAAGCUGAGUGAGAAAUUUGUGGAGCUCUUUGCAGAAGUAUUCUGUUGUUUGCCUUUGGCGCAUGUAAUAAAUCAAAAGGUUUUUGUUGUUCAUGGAGGCCUUUUUAGUGUUGAUGGGGUGAAACUCUCUGACAUCAAAGCAAUAGAUCGGUUUUGUGAGCCUCCUGAGGAAGGGUUGAUGUGCGAAUUGCUUUGGAGUGAUCCACAACCUUUCCCUGGAAGAGGUCCUAGCAAGAGGGGAGUAGGUCUUUCUUUCGGUGCGGAUGUGACGAGAAAAUUUUUGCAGGAUAACAAUCUAGACUUGAUUGUGCGGUCUCAUGAAGUAAAAGACGAAGGUUAUGAAAUCGAGCAUGAUGGUAAACUUAUAACCAUCUUUUCUGCACCAAAUUACUGUGAUCAGAUGGGUAACAAGGGUGCAUAUAUUCGGUUUGAAGCCCCCGAUUUGAAGCCGAAUAUUGUUACAUUCUCUGCAGUGCCUCAUCCCGAUGUUAAACCGAUGGCAUACGCGAACAAUUUCCUACGAAUGUUCCAAUAGUCAUUCAUAGAUGCUUCAAUCUUGCACGAGUUUCUUGCUGUCCAAUGCCAUUUACUGCACGAUGGCUUCUUAGAUACUUGGGUUUAAGCUUUGAAAUGGCUUUGAGUACAAUUAUUUUUGGAUGUGGGUUUGACUUGAAUGAAAUAAGAAUGGUGAAUGGUGCUUUGGCAAGGGGUUCGUUUGAUGGCAUAGGAGCUUGGCGUGCAAGGUGAUGGUAAGGUUAAGAUGUCAGCCAUUGAGGCGUCAGCUAAGGUUGAAGAAAGGAGAUAAGGAGAAAAAAAGGAAAUUAACAAGUUCUUAAUUUAAAUUUAGAAGAAAAAAGGUAUCAGUCAAAAGUAAACAAAUUUGCCACGUCAGAACCCAAUAAGUCAUCCUGCCAUGCCAGCAAAAAAUACCUUGUAAUUAGGGUCAAACAUUAAAGUGGUAAACACAAUCAAAUUUCUGGUAUCAAAUUGCAUAUUUUGAAAAUACAAAUAUCAUAUUUGAAGA